rnacentral:rRNA from 1 species
GGGUCCGCACAAGCGGUGGAGCAUGUGGUUUAAUUCGAUGAUACGCGAGGAACCUUACCUGGGCUCGAACGCUACUGGACGUAAGCUGAAAGGCUUAUUCUCUUCGGAGCUGGUAGUGAGGUGCUGCAUGGUUGUCGUCAGCUCGUGCCGUGAGGUGUUGGGUUAAGUCCCGCAACGAGCGCAACCCUUAUUGUUAGUUGCCAACGCAUAAUGGCGGGGACUCUAGCAAGACUGCCUCCGUAAGGAGUGAGGAAGGAAGGGACGACGUCAAAUCAUCAUGGCCUUUAUGCCCAGGGCUACACACGUGCUACAAUGGCGUAUACAGAGGGGAGCGAUAGGGUGACCU